UUGUGGGAAAAAAAAAAAUAUCUUACACAUUGAAAAUGGCGUCGCAAAACUCACAGCUUCACUUUGUUGUUUUCAUGAUCAUUGUUUCAGUACUCCUUGCUAACAGUGCACAAUCCACUCGAAUGAUGGAUGAUCACAUUGAUCAAUUUCUAGACUGUGAAUUCAAAGGACCAUGCCAUAGGAGGAGUGAUUGUAUCGCAACUUGUGAAGGCCAGCCUAGUAAAACUUUGUGUAUUCCUAAUCCUAGUGUAGAUAAUACCCUUCAAUGUUGUUGUAUUUCAAGUUAAAAUUUGAUUGGCAUUAUUACUGAAAUACAAAUGUUUUACCAAUAAUAUAUACUAUUGAGACACUGAA